UGGACUUCACCAAUGCCAGGGGCAUAAC
rnacentral:sRNA from 1 species